UUUACGGUGACCGUGACCGGCAACCUGGCGUCGGUAGCGAUUUGGUUCAACCACACAACUUUUAUCCAGAAUCUGAGCCAGAGGGAGAGGCUGCUGAAGAAGUUCAAACUCUACAACUGCAGCAGGACGUUUCUGAAUGGUGCUCCUGUGGAAACUGUGCAACCAUGCCCACAGAAGCUGAGGACAUCUGCUGCUAGGAGAUACCGCAGGUUACCAGAUGGCUAUGGGAGAUCGUGGAAGAUUUACCAUGUAUGGUAGACCGUCCUGGGUUGGAGCCGCUCUGCCUCAAUGUGUUCUGCCUGCAACAUGUACCGCACUGACUAUGGUCCUUUACGGUUGAGAGGAAU